rnacentral:rRNA from 1 species
AUUGAACGCUGGCGGCAUGCUUUACACAUGCAAGUCGAACGGUAACAGGCCGCAAGGUGCUGACGAGUGGCGAACGGGUGAGUAAUGCAUCGGAACGUGCCCAGUCGUGGGGGAUAACGCAGCGAAAGCUGCGCUAAUACCGCAUACGAUCUAUGGAUGAAAGCGGGGGACCGUAAGGCCUCGCGCGAUCGGAGCGCCCGAUGUCAGAUUAGGUAGUUGGUGGGGUAAAGGCUCACCAAGCCAACGAUCUGUAGCUGGUCUGAGAGGACGACCAGCCACACUGGGACUGAGACACGGCCCAGACUCCUACGGGAGGCAGCAGUGGGGAAUUUUGGACAAUGGGCGCAAGCCUGAUCCAGCAAUGCCGCGUGCAGGAAGAAGGCCUUCGGGUUGUAAACUGCUUUUGUACGGAACGAAACGGUCCUGGUUAAUACCCGGGGCUAAUGACGGUACCGUAAGAAUAAGCACCGGCUAACUACGUGCCAGCAGCCGCGGUAAAAC